AUCCAACAGACGAGUCCCAAAUUGGACGAAACGUGCGUCCUGGAU
rfam:Schistosoma rodhaini strain Burundi genome assembly, scaffold: SROB_scaffold0003220